AUAACACCGGCUCUCAUACUAUCACCGAAGUUAAGCAACGUCGAGCCUAGUCUGUACCUAAAUAGGUGACCACUUGAGAAUGCCCGGUGCUAU